ACAUCUUAAUUAGGAUUUUGUUAAUUCUCGGAGGGUCUAUGUGCUAAUAUUGUUGAAUAUUCAUUCUAAGUUCUAACCCGUCUGAAUAGCGCAGAAGCUGACUAGACCCGUCGCGCCACCGAGGCACAGAAGAAGAUGAGCGAUCGAUCCUUAGAAUUUCUCCGGCCAACGGAAACCGUAGAGCUCGAAAGCGGACUUUCACUGGUCCCACGUGUCAAACUCCUACUCACAGUCUCACGGGCCGACAAGUCCGUAUCGCCGGUCGACGAGUGGAAGCUGAAGCGGUCACUGAUCGAUUACCUGAAGAACACACAUUCCGUCACCGUUCAAGAGGAAGACCUCGAAGUCCGGAGAUUCAAGGACCUCAACAAGCGCAAGCGCGACGAGCCGGUUGCUCGCGGCACCCUAUGUAUUCGGGACCUAGGGUUUCUGGCGAAGCUCUUGGCCUCGAAAUCUCAGUAUGAUGAUGAGAAGGAUGAAGUUAAGGCAGCUGAGAAGAACUUCCUGGAGUGGAGGAGAGGAAUUGUGGAGAGAAUGGAUGGUAUGGAGGUUAACAUUGAAGGCACUAAGUUCAAGCUGAGUGCUGUGCUGCCGGCGUCGGAUGAUUUUGAAGGGAUGAAGAAAGAAUGGGAAGAGAUUGCUGCUUUUGGUGGCCGAGGAUAUCAAAGGGGUUCAAGUAUGCAACCAGAUACACUUGUGUUGAGAGGUUUGCCAUCAAGGUGGUUUGCUGAGACAAGGGUGUCUUCGAAGCCUUCCAUGCUAGUCAGCCAUACAAUUUUUUCAACAUUUGGGAAUAUUAGGAACAUUGAUGUGGCUGAGGACAAUUAUGUUGGUAAGGAUGUAGAAGAGGAUGGACUGGACAUUAUUUCAGGACUCCAAUGUAAGAUUGUGGUUCGGUUCAAGAAGCACAAGGACUUCUGCAAUGCUUUGAAGGCGUUAUGUGGCCGUUCAUUGCAAAAGCAAGGGUCACGUUUGCGAGCUGAUUAUGAUGUCACUUGGGAUAAGGAUGGAUACUUCCGAAAUGAUGAAAGUCAAACAGGAGAAAGAAAUAGAUGGGUGCCUGCAAGGGAAGCACUGAAUGAAAGAGAUGAAGCACCUAGGAGUCGAUCACGCAACUUUAGUUAUGAAGAUGGCCGCAGAAAGAGAUUUAAGGAAUGAUGCUUCAAAAUUCAAAAUCUUAACCUGUGCAAGCUUAAUAUGGAAGUGCUAAAUGGUCGAUGAUAAUAGCAUCAAAUUUGCAAAUCUGUGGUCUGCAUGACAGCCAGAGAUUUAUGACAGCGAUUUCGGUCAACUUCAAGUUUGAGAAAAACCUUGCAUUUGGAAGCUCAGUUUUCUGGAGAAAUCCCUCUUCCUCUUCUGCUUUCUGGAGCUCAAGCUUGAAGAUGAACUCUCUCUAAUGGUGGGAAUUGCAUACCAUCCAAUGGAGGUACACAUAACUGCAAACGUCCUUCCAUAAACAGCCAAUAAAGCCAAAAUCAAGAUUAUAGCCACAGGCAAGUAAUACCUCGGCUUCUUCCAGUUUUCCCACUUCAUGACAUAAUUCAUCUUCUUCCAAGAAACACUCUUGCCCAACCUUUUCUCUUCACCACCAGUUUCUUGAGCUUCACCUGUGGACUGAACCACAUUCUGCUCAACUUCAUCCUUGUCUGCUGCACCUUGUUUCUUGUUCUUUGACUUGACAAUAAUGGGCUUGACAUCAUUGGAGUUCAAGAAGGCGAAGCGGACGAAGGAGAUGUCAUCUGAGCCCAUCUGUGUGUAGAUUUUCUGCUUCAGGUUUUGAAGAUCAGCCAAGAGUGCAGAGAACUUGUCGAGGCCGCGAUUAGCAUAAGGGUUUUUGAUCUCUCUCCCCCUAUAAAAUGUGCCCUUCUUUGACCUCUUGGGGGUUGAAGAUGGGCUAAGAAGAACAUACAUCUCAUCUUCAUCAGUUUGAAGAUCAAGAUGCGAGCUUCCACAAAUGCAUGGACUGAACAUAUUCAGAAACUAAAGGGUUUUGCAGUUGGAGGAGAUGAAUAUGUGGAAUGUUGUUUUGGGAUAACUUUGAUGGACAAAGAUAGAGAAAACUGGGAGCAGAGUGGUUCUUAAUU